UCAACUUAUCUUAGUCCAAAUGGUGAUGAUAUCUUUACAUUUACCAUGAAAUGUGAAGAAACCAUUCGAUAUAAGUUGCUUAUUCUUGUGGUUCUUUAUUAAUUUACCAAGAGAAUUAAUGAAAAAAGAGAAAUAGUAUAGGUAAAUGAAAAUGCAUGCGUGUCAUAAUAUGACUCUAGUUUGUCAAACAAAUUGGCACGUUGGAACAAGAACACAAGUGACUGUUGCAAAUGGGAUGGGGUGACAUGUGAUAGCUCUGGUCAUGUGAUUAACUUGGAAUUGGAUAAUGAGGCAAUUUCUGGUGGAAUUGAGAAUUCAAGUGCUCUUUUUAGUCUCCAAUAUCUUGAGAAGCUAAAUUUGGCUUACAAUAUUGGAAUUGGAUAAUGAGAUAAUUUCUGGUGGAAUUGAGAAUUCAAGUGCUCUUUUCAGUCUUCAGUAUCUUGAGAAGCUAAAUUUGGCUUACAACAGGUUUGAUGUUGGAAUAC
rnacentral:lncRNA from 1 species